AUUCGCGCCGCCACCCCUGAGUGAUCCACCCCGGCCGUGUCGCGCGCGGAGCCGUCGGAUCCGCCGUCCCCAUCCGAGCUGGCUUGGAGCGCCACGCGCGGCGCCUUCUGCCGUGCUGGGGCCCUGUGUCUCGGGAAUGAUGGGAGCGGCUGCGUGCGCCCGCGGUGUGUUCGACGGAAUGCCAGGGCCUCGACCCCGCGCAGCAGUGCCGGACCGGCCGCGUCGAGUGCCGGUCAGAGGCGCUGAACUCGCGGCUCCCUGGUGGACCUUGGCUGGCUCGCGCUUCGACCAUGUUGGCUUGCUUUGCAUGAGCUGCACGGGGCGUGUAGGCGGCUCAUCAUCUAAAGCUGAUAAUUCGGUGUCAGCGGAUGGUGUUGCUUCAUCAGUCAGCAUGGACGCAGAACCAGCUUGGUGCUCAACGGGAGGUGACUGCAACAUAUCUGUAAUACAAGAGAAACUACUUGCUGUUUCAGCGAAAUUUGAAUAGACUAUACUUUCUUCUGCAUGGAAGGAGCUCUCAAGGACACUAUUAUGCAAGUUUGGACCUCAAAAAAGCAACAUGGCAGUAUGACACUGAUGUGGAAUUUGUAUACAGUUAGGCUAAAAUAUCCACAGAAAAUCCGCAUCUGUGAACCCGAGAGACCAACAAACAGGACACACGUUUGAAAUAUCAAGUACCCAAUUAAAAGAGCAUAUUUGGACGGAUGGCGCGAAGAAGAAGAAGAAGAAGAAGAAGGACGGACCUUGGAGGUUGCUGUCGAGCCAUUUGGACUGCCUGGUGCGGAUGUGGCUCGCCCACCACCACGAGUAGGCGUUGCUCGCCGCCCGCUGCAGCAUCCUCCACCUGAGAGUUCUUCAGCCGGUUUAGCAGCACCUCCAGCACAAGAUCAAAGUGCAGGACUCAAACUGGAAGGUCAACAAUGUCCAUUACCUACAUUUGCUGUGGAAUAUAUGUCAUCCCCUGAAGAAAAAUGAAGCAAAACACCGCCGCCGCGGCUGCUGCUGACCGAGAAACCUCUAGAGGAAGAACACAAUGACGACAGCGACGGAGAAGAAGAGCAGGUGAAUACAGCACUUUCAAUCUUGUUCUUCCAGGGAUGCCUGUGCAUAGUUGGAAGCAGAAGAACAGAAGCGAGCAGUAGGUGGUAGUGGAGAAGUGGUGGCAUGCUGCUCGUGCCUGGCACGUCGGCGUGUGAUUAUUGGGCCGAAAUGAGAUGGGCCGUGGACUCAAAUUGUGCUACUCUUUUCUUUCUCUUUGCAGAUCUGGCUGAAACGAUCCUCUCAAAAAAAAAAUCUGGCUGAAACGAUUUUCCCGACUCCCGUAAAAUAAGUAACUUCCAAGAAAAAAGAUGCAAGUCCUUACCGCUAAAAAAAAAAGCAAGUUCUUAUUAAACAUAGGUAAACAAACAAAAGGUGAUGUCAUUCUCUGCAGAUGGCCAUAUCGAUUGACAUUUCAAGCAUACAAGAAUCUUUAAGCAAUCCAAAACAGAACACACAAGGAUCUUCAUUCCAAUAUAUUUUCUAGUACAUCUCUCUAGCUAAGGCAAAGUAAUAAUAAUUUGCCACAAAUCUCCAAGCAGUACAAAACAGACAGUGCAGACAAAAUGAAUGCUGCUCCUAUUUGACACUUUACACCCAGCCAGGAUGGCAUAAUGUACAGUUAUAGACCACAUGGGUGCAUGUGGCAAAUUCCAGCCCCAUCUAACAAAACCCAUUAUAAAAUUACAGCUAUUUAGCUGUACCAUAUCAAUAUAUCAUUUCAUUUUCAUGCACCUGAUCUGAUCGAUGCCACCUUCUUAAGCAACCAAGAUUAGGUGGGUACAACCACACCUAAAAAAUAAAUAAACAAUAAGCCCAAUCAACUCAAUCCAUUUCAUCAGCUGUUAAAAGUACAAUCAUGGAUGGCAAACAUGGCAACAAGCAUGAGUAUGCUCUCUGUCAACAAACAUAGUUAGAAAUUCCAACAAACCAUUCAUUCCCCAACAGACAUGAAUAUUCUUUCUGACAACAAACAUGAUUAGAAAUUUAGAAUAGCCAACAAAUCAUGCCAACAAACAUGAUGGCGGCUAGGAUAUGUCACUGGUAACAUUAGUAGUCAUUCCUCGGAAUGAGCUGCACAGUUUACAUUCAGGAAUGAGUAACCAUUCUGAUCAGGAGGAACUCCAUCCAGU